rnacentral:rRNA from 1 species
GAUGAACGCUGGCGGCGUGCCUAAUACAUGCAAGUCGAGCGAACAGACGAGGAGCUUGCUCCUCUGACGUUAGCGGCGGACGGGUGAGUAACACGUGGAUAACCUACCUAUAAGACUGGGAUAACUUCGGGAAACCGGAGCUAAUACCGGAUAAUAUAUUGAACCGCAUGGUUCAAUAGUGAAAGACGGUUUUGCUGUCACUUAUAGAUGGAUCCGCGCCGCAUUAGCUAGUUGGUAAGGUAACGGCUUACCAAGGCGACGAUGCGUAGCCGACCUGAGAGGGUGAUCGGCCACACGGGAACUGGAACACGGUCCAGGCUCCUACGGGAGGCAGCAGUAGGGAAUCUUCCGCAAUGGGCGAGAGCCUGACGGAGCAGCGCCGCGUGAGUGAUGAAGGUCUUCGGAUCGUAAAACUCUGUUAUUAGGGAAGAACAAAUGUGUAAGUAACUAUGCACGUCUUGACGGUACCUGAUCAGAAAGCCACGGCUAACUACGUG